rnacentral:rRNA from 1 species
UCAGGCCUAACACAUGCAAGUCGAGCGGGGUUUUCGGACCUAGCGGCGGACGGGUGAGUAAUGCGUAGGAAGCUACCCGAUAGAGGGGGAUACCAGUUGGAAACGACUGUUAAUACCGCAUAAUGUCUACGGACCAAAGUGUGGGACCUUCGGGCCACAUGCUAUCGGAUGCGCCUACGUGGGAUUAGCUAGUUGGUGAGGUAAUGGCUCACCAAGGCGACGAUCUCUAGCUGGUUUGAGAGGAUGAUCAGCCACACUGGAACUGAGACACGGUCCAGACUCCUACGGGAGGCAGCAGUGGGGAAUAUUGGACAAUGGGCGCAAGCCUGAUCCAAAAGUGCCGCGUGUGUGAAGAAGGCCUUCGGGU